AGAGUUUGAUCCUGGCUCAGGAUGAACGCUGGCGGUCUGCUUAACACAUGCAAGUCGAACGGAAUCUUUCGGGAUUUAGUGGCGGACGGGUGAGUAACGCGUGAGAAUCUGCCUUCAGGUUCGGGACAACAGUUGGAAACGGCUGCUAAUACCGGAUGUGCCGAGAGGUGAAAGCUUAAGUGCCUGGAGAUGAGCUCGCGUCUGAUUAGCUAGUAGGAGUGGUAACGGCACCCCUAGGCGACGAUCAGUAGCUGGUCUGAGAGGAUGAUCAGCCACACUGGGACUGAGACACGGCCCAGACUCCUACGGGAGGCAGCAGUGGGGAAUUUUCCGCAAUGGGCGCAAGCCUGACGGAGCAAGACCGCGUGAGGGAAGAAGGUCUGUGGAUUGUAAACCUCUUUUGAUCGGGAAGAAGACAGUGACGGUACCGAUCGAAUCAGCU
rnacentral:rRNA from 1 species